rnacentral:lncRNA from 1 species
UCAGUGGGGAGAGGGAGGGGGAGAAGGCAAUAUGGGGUAGGGGAGGACUGACCCAGUCAGAGAGGUCAAGGAAAUAUCCUUGAGCAAGCCAUGGUUGAGCAGAGUUUUGAAAGAUGGUAGGAAUUAACUAAGCCAAGGCUUGGAUGAGAGAGGUGGAGGCACCAUUGUAGGUAGAAGGAACAGCAGGAGCAAGGAUUCUGAAGAAGCCAGGCAGAUUUCCUGCUUUUCAGUGUUGUGUGUGUGUGUGUGUAUGUUUGGUUUUAAUAGUUUUUACUUUUCUCUAUGGACUAGAACCGUAGGACUUAAUAAGCCCAAACAUGAUGUUGUAGAAGAAACUGGAAUGGAAGUUCUGGGACCUGGGCACUAGGUACUACCUCACCAAGUCAUUUUCUGACUUCCAUGUGUAUGUAUGACAUCUUGAGUCUUUAACCAUUUCAAGGCUCCCAUUUCUUCAUCUGCAAAAUGAGGGUCUGAGAGUAAAUGGACUUUGGGAUGAUUCUCAGGAUCUUGCACACUUUUAGAUUAGCUACGUAUAUUGGGUAUUUACUGGACCCUUCUCCUCCACGUAUACCAUGUUUCUAGGGUAUGACCUCCCCUUACUCUCCUGAUCAUAACUAAUUGGUUUGGGGGUAGGAACUGACUCAAGCUGGGCCAAUCAGAUUUUAUUCCUUGAGAACUUUAAAUUAGGCUAGCUCUUGGAAUGGAGGUAAAAACUGAGAAGUUGUAGGGAAACUACUUUCUUCCCACAGGGUAGACCAAGCAAAGAAAGGAAGAUGUCAGCGUGAAGAAUAAAGCACACUGGCACAAAGAAGCUGCAUGGGCCCUGAGAGCUUUCAAGUUCUUAUCUAAGGCCAACUCUAUGCCUGCCUUUGCAUUCCACAAGUGCUUCUAUAUCCUUUUAUUAUCAUUAUUAUUUGUUUUUUGCUUUUUAGGGCUGCACCUGUAGCAUAUGGAAGUUCCCAGGCUAGGGGUCGAAUCGGAGAUGCAGCUGCCAGCCUACACCACAGCCAGAGCAACGCCAGAUCUGAGAUGAAUCUUCAACCUACACCACAGGUCAUGGCAACGCUGGAUCCUUAAUCCUCUGAGCGAGGCCAGGGAUUGAACCUGCAUCCUCACGGAUACCAGUCAGGUUCAUUACCACUGAGCCAUGACAGCAACUCCUAUAUCCUUUUAAUAAAUUCCUUUUUUCCUUUAAGCUAGCUGAAUUAUACAGUAGAUUGUAGCAGGUAUUAUGUUUGUCUAACAGUGUUUUUCCCCACCCAACCCCUUUUGAUUUCCCUGGGUAACUCCUCCCCCAAUUUUCAUGAAUUUCCAAUAGGAUAAAUCAUCAAAGAUACUCCCCCCAGGGGUGAGCAUGUGAUCUAGCAUGACCAGCCAGGGCACCCUAUCUGCCUGGCCACAAUGAUUGGGGGGUAUAUAGGCACAUAACCCAGGCAAGGCCAAUCAAUGUCUUCCCUAGGACUGAAAGAAGGAGUUGGAAAAAUUCUUUCUGCUUAGGUGGCUACACUGGGACAAUGUGCAUUUGGGAAUUAGUCUCCAUUUUAUUUCUUUGUGAAGAGACUCUGCAGAAUGACACCCAACAGAGACAAGUUACCUGAAGAGAUGGGGAGAGAGAGAGUGAGAGACCUCUGAAACACCAAACCUUAGAUUCUACCCUGCCUUGAGCCAGAUCCAUUCCUAGAUUUUCCAGUUAUGCAAGUCAAUAAAUUUCUUUCUUUGUUUAAGCUAGCUGGGUUUUCAUAACUUGCAAUUAGAAUAGUCCUUACUCAUAUAAGUUCAUUUCUAUUAACUUGCGUGCAAAAUCCUAACUAAUGGGACAAUAUAGCAAAUAUAAGGUUUUAUGAAGUCUUUAUUAUGUCCCUAUAGAAUUAAAAAUACCACUGUAUUGGCAGAGGCUCCCAACCCCGUAACUCCUUUCAGUCCACUUGCUAUAGUUCUGUCAGCCUUUGAUCUCUGUUAUGGGUUGAAUUGUGUUCCCUGAAAAGCUCCCCAAAAAGAUAUGCUGUAGUCCUACUCCAGUGUCUCAGAAUAAGUUCUUAUUUGGAAUUACAUUCAUUGAAGAUGUAAUCAAUUAAGAUGUGGUCAAACUUAAGUAGGGAGGGCCCCUAAUCCAUUAUGACAGGAGUCCUUAUAAGAAGACAGCCAUGUGAAGACAGAAACCCACAGAGAACACCAGGUGAAGAUAGAGCCUAGGGCCACUAGAGCUAGGGGAGAGGCAUGGAAUGGCUUCUCCCCUCAGAAGGAACCAAAUAUGCCAAAUGGAGGUAUGUUUGGAUAAUGGUUGCAGGUAAAGAAGGUGCUGCAUUUGCUGCUUCCUAUCAGGGUUGUAAUUUUAUUUAGAUCAGAAUGACUGUCCUUAGACCAUUGUCCUAUUCCACUACUCUCCUCCCAGUCUCCUUUUGCUCUAGGGAAACUGGAGGCCUAGAUGAAAAUUCAGACUCAACUCUAGUGGAACUGGCUUCAGAGCCCAGUUUCCAAGGGACUCAAGCAUCUGAGGAAAAGGGUAUUCAUUGACUGGCUGCAAGGUGGGAAAACAGAGACAAUAAGAAUCAUGUGCCUUGGCAGAGCCAACAAGCCAGGCACCCACAGCCGGGACCCAAGGCCCCAUUCCCAGGCUUUGUCUUGGCUCUGUGUGUGAGACCACACUGGAGAAUGUGGGACUCAUCCUGGUCUAUUCCCAACAGCCCAACACUACCUCUGACCAGCCACCCCAGGGCAUGGGAAAGGGAGAGGCGUGAAGGGCUGGACAAGAAGUGAAGCAAGUAUGAAAUCUGACAUCUCUCCGCCUAGGAGACACACACAGAGAAAAGAUCCAGCUUGGCUGCCUGCUCUCCACUGCAAACUAAGAUGGCAUGGUCACCAGUAUAGGAUGAAAGACACCAUGCUGAGAGCCAGAUGGUUCUACUGGAAGUGGAAUCUCAAAGAGGUGGAGAGAGGUUCAGAAGAUGAGCUGGUAUUUGUUAAUCAAAUACUUCCCUACCUUCUUUCUUCUGAAAAGAUCAUAAUCUUCCCUCUCAUUCAUUGACUCCUCACGCUAUAUGUUGGUAGGGCCACUGGACAUGGACACUGUGGGCCCUCCAGCUAAUUGUGGGAGCAGCUGCUAAGUGCAUUUUCAAGUCUCAUCAAAGGGUGGGAGGAUGGAGGGGAGAAGAUGGGGAGCCACUUCCCUAAUGAAAAAGAAUACCCUAAAAAGUAACAAGGAGCAAGUUGUGGCUUGAGAAAAAAAAAAUUCUCCUCUUAGGAGACAUCAGAUUCUUAAUUCCCAGCAACAACUGCAUGAUAUUGUCAUUUAUUGACUUAGUGUUCAAGUGAGUAGGAUCAAGCUGUUCUUGUCCUUCAGUCCAGAUGGGUUUUGGAGACCGAGAUCCCACAGGCAGUGAAUCCAGGUCAGGCUUCUCUGUGCAACUCAAGUCUCCCCCAGGCACUGUCAGCAACCAAUAGUCUUGUCUCUCCUUCCCUCACCCCACCCCACACCUACACAUGCCCUGGCCAGCACCCUCUCUCCUCUUCAUUUACCCAUGAGGCCAAACUGAGCCCUCAGCUUUUAGAAAUCUCUGGGUAUCUGGGUGGAGGGAAGAGGAAGGAGACGUAGGAGAGGGUCACACCACAUCAAGUUCUUUACCAGCUUGAGAAGAACUUUGGUGGUCUCUCCAAGGCCACCAAAGAUGGUUUUUCAAUGGUAACUGUCUUGGAGGAGAGAAAUAAAAUCCUGGGUCUGGGGAUUUUUUUUUUUUUUUUGCAUUGUUUUCACUUUUGGAUAUACCACUUAAAAGUAUGUUAGAUCUUUUUUGUUUUUUCUUUUUUGGCCACCCCAUGGCAUAUGGAGUUCUUAGGCUAGGGAUUACAUCCGGGCCACUGGUGCAACCUACGCUGGUGCAGCAAUGCCAAAUUCUUAACCCGCUAUGCCAGGCUGGGG